rnacentral:rRNA from 1 species
UACGAAGGGGACUAGCGUUUUUCGGAAUUACUGGGCGUAAAGCGCACGUAGGCGGAUUAGUAAGUCAGGGGUGAAAUCCCGGGGCUCAACCUCGGAACUGCCUUCGAUACUGCUGAUCUCGAGUCCGGGAGAGGUGAGUGGAAUUCCUAGUGUAGAGGUGAAAUUCGUAGAUAUCAGGAGGAACACCAGUGGCGAAGGCGGCUGCCUGGACAGCUACUGACGCUGAGACGCGAAAGCGUCGGGAGCAAACAGG